CAGGCGAUAAGCAAAGCGAGCCUUCCAGCAGAAUAAGCUCUCUCCCACUGCCUCCACCCUGCAGAGCCUGCCCAGGAGCAGGGUCUUCCCCCGAUGCCUCCACUGAGAGAAGCAAAGGAGAAGCACUGCGUCCGGCGCUUCAAGGUCUGGUGCACGACUGUGACUGCCACGGUGCGGGAGAGUGGGUGAGCCAGCCAGCAAGACCAUAUAUGUUCAUUCUCCUAAUAUUUGUGGAUAAAAUUAAAUGAGCAGCUGUGACAGGAAAACUAAAGAUAUAACACAUGAGCCUGCAAGAUGGAGGUUACUCUAUGGCUCGUGUGGAGAUGUGAAGGAGCACAGAUGAAAGACUACGCAAGCUCAUCUGCAUGGAAACUGCAAAAGUGCCUGGAAUAUUAGGGGAAUACAGAAACUGGGUAUUUAUUAGGAAGAUUGCGACUGGUCCUGAGCAGAAAUGAGGACUGAGAUUCCGUGCUAACUUAAGUGAAGAGAAAUAAUUCUGCAGCUUCAGAAGUUUAUACCGCAAUAUGGAGAAGCACAGAAAGGAGACAAAUAGUUCAAAGAGCAACAGAACUGUGAAGAUUACGUACAUUUAAAAAAAAGAAAAUUAUAACGCAUUUUCUUCAGUUGCGUAUGCUCAUCCUUUCAUGUUCCACUAAAGACAUUUGUGCAAGCAAGUUUCUUUCCAGCAAACAUUAACAUUUUGUGGGCAAACACAAAAAUCACUAGAUUUUUAUGCCUCCACGAGCACAUGUUUUUGUUCAAUUUAUUCAAGCACUCAGAAAGUAAGAACAAUUCUGUCCCGCAAGCAAGAACCAGAGACAGGUCUCAAGAGAAUAAGGAACGCCUUCGAAGAGCCUUUUUCUGCUGAAAACUGAAACAUCUGCUGAGCAUG